CAACCCUAUUGUUAGUUGCCAUCAUUCAGUUGGGCACUCUAGCGAGACUGCCGGUAAUAAACCGGAGGAAGGUGGGAUGACGUCAAAUCAUCAUGCCCCUUAUGACCUGGGCUACACACGUGCUACAAUGGUUGGUACAACGAGUUGCGAGUCGGUGACGGCGAGCUAAUCUCUUAAAGCCAAUCUCAGUUCGGAUUGUAGGCUGCAACUCGCCUACAUGAAGUCGGAAUCGCUAGUAAUCGCGGAUCAGCACGCCGCGGUGAAUACGUUCCCGGGCCUU
rnacentral:rRNA from 1 species